rnacentral:misc_RNA from 1 species
GGCUAAUCAUUUUGAUAUGUAAAGCAACUCAAUCUCUCAUAUGCCCAUAUUAAAAUGAAUUAAUGUUUAAUUUAUCAAACACUCCCCAAAUUUAACAGUUUUUUAGCCUCUCAGCUUCAACCCCAAACGGGGCCUAAAGCAUUAUACUAAUCAGCAUGAGUACACAUAGUCAAAAUUCACUGACACAUCAAUAGAGGGAUUAUUGAAGGUAAAAUAGAACACAUUACAACAGAAAAACACCCUUCCCACUUCCACACCUUUCAGAAUAUCAUCAGCAGAAAGGAACUUUUCAUAACAUUAACUUCAUUUCACAGCAGAAGUUUUGUAUUGCAGGUCCCAGACCAAAGAAAGUUAAAGAGUAGCCAUUUGAGAAGUAGCAGCAAAACUACCCAAGUAAAGAAGCAACAAGUUUGCAAUAACUACAAGUAAAGUUUCCCAUCCCACCUUUCCCUAUCAAAUCUAAGGCGGCGAAAAUAUCAUACCAGUUCUUGCCGUAGCUGUUGAUUUUGCUUCAGAGCAGCAGCUUUCUCCUCAGUCAACUUAGAAAUGGUAGACCAUUCCUGAAAAAUCAAUAAAAAUUGCUUUGUGAAAUUACAUAAAAAGAAAAUUAAAACAUUCAAUUUUCGUAAGACGAUGACGAUAAAAACUGACGCAGAUUAACUUCUACAAGCCUCCUUGACAACAGAAACACAUAAAUAUUAGAUGGCCAUUAUCUUGCUGGGCUCAUAAUAUGACCUCAGUUAUCUGUGGACCCUUUAAAAGAUAAAAGAGAAUUUUGAUAUUUUACAUGCUCCCCCAAACACAUGGUGCAAUUUGCAUAUGGUUCCAAUAGUGACAAAUAUGGUUAUUUGGCCUGCAUCCUAAUUUUUUUUUUUAGUAUAUCAGAAAUAAGAUCUCAUUGAUGAAAGCAUAUGUGCAUAGAUUAAAGCCCCACUACAACAAGAAAACUAGGUCAACACUAACACCCAAGCUCAUGAAAGAUGGUCCAAGACCAUUACAACAGAACCCUAUGACAAAUAGGUGUUUGACCUGAAGCCAAUGACCCAGCACAACAUUUCAAAGCAAAUCACCACCAACACCACCAGCAUGGGAACCACCAUCAACCAAAGGGGACUACAAGCAGUGCUCAUUAAGCAAAACACAGGGGAACUUAAAGAGGACCAUGCAAGACCAAAAAUAGCCAACCCACAUCCAAACAGAUUUCUCUUGAAAUAAUCAUAUCCAUCCUUGUAGAUGGAUCGGCUAGGAAUCAAGCAAUUAUAGAAACAAAGCUAAGAACCAUGGAUUUGCCAGAGAACAUCAAGGAGAUGCCAGACAAGCCGGGAAAGCAAGGCAAACUUAGGCUUUGAAUCUCGCCUAACCCAUCAGGACCCAGUGACUGAUGAGGGAAGGGACCAUCCCCUGCGCAGGGCAACAAACGCCUUUAACUGAAGAAAACUGAUAGAGAGAAAAGAGGUUUCUCUCACUAAAAAGAGAGACAAGCUCCCACUGCUUUUUAUGAUUAAUGGGCCAAUUGCCUGCACCCUAAUAGAAGCCCUUGGAAGUCAGAUGAAUACCAAGGGUAAAUCCGAAACCUCCCAUGGAGGAUAAUACAGAAACCUCCAAAUUAAACUUCAGUUUCCAAGGAUAAUUCUUUCAUAAGUGCAAUGUUUGACUACAUUAGCACACACUCUACGAUGAGUCCAUUCAAGUUAGAGCACAACUAAAAAAGUAAUUACAUGUUCUUCCAAAACCUUUAGAUAUUAAUACACAACAAAGAAUCACUUUUUAAAAUAACCAGUUAUGCAAGAACUGAAAACUGAGUAUUUGUCAGAAAAUCAACAUUCUACUUUCUAUAGGUUAUAUCAUUUUUAGAAGUUUGGCCAUCAAGAAACCACAUCGACAUUGAAGUAGAUUUUAUACUUCCAUAUGCAAUUUCAAGAACUCAUCAAGCAAACUACAGGAUUGCCCCUAAGAAAUAUCAUAAUCAAGCACUUCAAUGAGAAUACUAUCAAAAUGUAAGUAGAACAGUGUUGAUUACUUCCGAUCCACAAGUAAAAAAAAUAUGAAACCCUCUAUUCAUUCACGCAAGCAAUGCAAACUCCAUAAAAUCACAAUUUGCAGAAAAAAAUUUGCAAGUAUAGAAUUAGUGGAUAUCGGUCCACAUUUAAGGCGUGAAACAUUUUAAACACAGUCAAGAAGCCUUUAAAUUUUCAUUUCACCUCAACCAAGUACCGACUCAGAAAUAUUGAAGCCGUUGAAGAACUUGACCUACUCAGAAAUAUUAAAAUGCAAGACACAAAAUAAUCAAGUUACCAAAUUUUCAGCAAAAGGUAAAAAGACAACUUACCUCCGAAGA